UACGUAGGGCGGCAAGCGUUGUCCGGAAUUAUUGGGCGUAAAGAGCUCGUAGGCGGUUUGUCGCGUCUGCUGUGAAAACCUAAGGCUCAACCUCGGGCUUGCAGUGGAUACGGGCAGACUAGAGUGCGGGUAGGGGAGACUGGAAUUCCUGGUGUAGCGGUGGAAUGCGCAGAUAUCAGGAGGAACACCGAUGGGCGAAGGCAGGUCUCUGGGGCCGCAAACUGGACGCU
rnacentral:rRNA from 1 species